AGCUCCAAUAGCGUAUAUUAAAGUUGUUGCAGUUAAAAAGCUCGUAGUUGGAUUUCUGGUGGGAGGGAUCGGUCCUGCAUUCUUUGUAGGAACUUGUAUCCUCUCCGGCCAUCCUUGGGUGGAUCUUGUUUGGCAUUAAGUUGUCAGGCAGGGGAUGCCCAUCGUUUACUGUGAAAAAAUUAGAGUGUUCAAAGCAGGCUUAUGCCAUUGAAUAUAUUAGCAUGGAAUAAUAAGAUAGGGCCCGGGUACUAUUUUGUUGGUUUGCGUACCGAGGUAAUGAUUAAUAGGGACAGUUGGGGGUAUUUGUAUUCAGUAUUCAGUGGUGAAAUACUUAGACCUACGGAAGACAAACUACUGCGAAAGCAUUUACCAAGGAUGUUUUCA
rnacentral:rRNA from 1 species